rnacentral:rRNA from 1 species
UACGUAGGGUGCGAGCGUUAAUCGGAAUUACAGGGCGUAAAGCGUGCGCAGGCGGUUUGUUAAGACAGAUGUGAAAUCCCCGGGCUUAACCUGGGAACUGCAUUUGUGACUGGCAAGCUAGAGUAUGGCAGAGGGGAGUAGAAUUCCACGUGUAGCAGUGAAAUGCGUAGAGAUGUGGAGGAAUACCGAUGGCGAAGGCAGCCCCCUGGGCCAAUACUGACGCUCAUGCACGAAAGCGUGGGGAGCAAACAGG